UACGUAGGGUGCAAGCGUUGUCCGGAAUUAUUGGGCGUAAAGAGCUCGUAGGCGGUUUGUCGCGUCUGCUGUGAAAUCUGGGGGCUCAACCCCCAGCCUGCAGUGGGUACGGGCAGACUAGAGUGCGGUAGGGGAGAUUGGAAUUCCUGGUGUAGCGGUGAAAUGCGCAGAUAUCAGGAGGAACACCGAUGGCGAAGGCAGGUCUCUGGGCCACUACUGACGCUGAGAAGCGAAAGCAUGGGGAGCGAACAGG
rnacentral:rRNA from 1 species